AAGAAAUUAGGUUCAAUCUUCAAACCGAGGGCCUUCAAAGCCA
rnacentral:tRNA from 2 species